GUGUUCAUGAAUGGGUACUGUAGACAAAAUAACAAUAUGGUCUACUGGAGAUGUUCCACAGACAUGGACAGACAGUACAGACAACAUGCAGAGACAGUAAGGUCAUUAUUAAUGUUAAUAGUGUUGAGUCAGGUCAGAGACGGUAAGGUCAUUAAUACUGUUAAUAGUGUUGAGUCAGGUCAGAGACAGUAAGGUCAUUAAUACUGUUGAGUCAGGUCAGAGACGGUAAGGUCAUUAAUACUGUUAAUAGUGUUGUCAGGUCAGAGACAGUAAGGUCAUUAAUACUGUUGAGUCAGGUCAGAGACGGUAAGGUCAUUAAUACUGUUAAUAGUGUUGAGUCAGGUCAGAGACAGUAAGGUCAUUAAUACUGUUAAUAGUGUUCUGUUAAUAGUGUUGUCAGGUCAGAGACAGUAAGGUCAUUAAUACUGUUGAGUCAGGUCAGAGACGGUAAGGUCAUUAAUACUGUUAAUAGUGUUGUCAGGUCAGAGACAGUAAGGUCAUUAAUACUGUUGAGUC